rnacentral:rRNA from 1 species
GACGAACGCUGGCGGCGUGCUUAACACAUGCAAGUCGAGCGGUAAGGCCACUUCGGUGGUACACGAGCGGCGAACGGGUGAGUAACACGUGAGUAAUCUGCCCUUCACUUUGGGAUAAGCACCGGAAACGGUGUCUAAUACCGGAUAUGAGCAUUCCACGCAUGUGGGGCGUUGGAAAGUUGUUUCGGUGGGGGAUGUGCUCGCGGUCUAUCGGCUUGUUGGUGGGGUAAGGGCAUACCAAGGCUUCGACGGGUAGCCGGCCUGUGAGGGUGACCGGUAACACUGGGACUGAGACACGGCCAAGACUCCUACGGGAGGCAGCAGUGGGGAAUACUGGACAAUGGGCGGAAGCCUGAUCCAGCAACGCCGCGUGAGGGAUGACGGCCUUCGGGUUGUAAACCUCUUUCAGCACCGACGAAGCGACCUUUGGGAGUGACGGUAGGUGCAGAAGAAGGACCGGCCAACUACGUGCCAGCAGCCGCCGUAAUAC